rnacentral:rRNA from 1 species
GGGGCGCAGCCUGAUGCAGCAACGCCGCGUGCGGGAAGACAGCCCUAGGGUUGUAAACCGCUUUCAGUAGGGAAGAAAAUGACGGUACCUACAGAAGAAGGUGCGGCCAACUACGUGCCAGCAGCCGCGGUGACACGUAGGCACCAAGCGUUAUCCGGAUUUAUUGGGCGUAAAGAGCUCGUAGGCGGUUUGGUAAGUCGGGUGUGAAAACUCAGGGCUUAACCCUGAGACGCCACCCGAUACUGCCAUGACUUGAGUACGGUAGGGGAGCGGGGAACUCCUGGUGUAGCGGUGAAAUGCGCAGAUAUCAGGAAGAACACCGGUGGCGAAGGCGCCGCUCUGGGCCGUAACUGACGCUGAGGAGCGAAAGCGUGGGUAGCAAACAGGAUUAGAUACCCUGGUAGUCCACGCCGUAAACGUUGGGCACUAGGUGUGGGUCUCAACUAACGAGAUCCGCGCCGUAGCUAACGCAUUAAGUGCCCCGCCUGGGGAGUACGGUCGCAAGACUAAAACUCAAAGAAAAUUGAACGGA